GACGAAGAACGCAGCGAAAUGCGAUAAGUAAUGUGAAUUGCAGAAUUCAGUGAAUCAUCGAGUCUUUGAACGCACAUUGCGCCCCCUGGUAUUCCGGGGGGCAUGCCUGUCCGAGCGUCAUUGCCGCCCUCAAGCACGGCUUGUGUGUUGGGCCCCCGCCCCCCGGCUUCGGGGGGCGGGCCCGAAAGGCAGCGGCGGCACCGCGUCCGGUCCUCGAGCGUAUGGGGCUUCGUCACCCGCUCUGUAGGCCCGGCCGGCGCCCGCCGGCGACCCCAAUCAAUCUUUCCAGGUUGACCUCGGAUCAGGUAGGGAUACCCGCUGAACUUAAGCAUAUCAAUAAGCGGAGGA
rnacentral:misc_RNA from 1 species